GAGAGACACUGGUAUGAAGUGAAAACCAUCAGCAGUGAUACAUAAAGAGAAGCACAGCUCAAGGUUCAACAGAAGAUCCAGCAAGGGGAAAACCCUAUUCCUGUGUGGAAGCAUACUGCCAAUGGCCACAGCAUGAAAGGAAUCAUACAUGCAGGGAAAAGUGUGGGUGUGGUGAGUGCUGUGACAUUUUCCAUGAUAAGUCAACACUCACUGAACACCAGAGGACACAAACUAGAGAGAUGACCUAUGAAUGCAAAGAAUGCAGGAAAGGUUUCUACUUCAAGUCACAACUCUUGGGACACCAGAGAACUCAUACAGGAGAGAAGCCCUAUGAAUGUGAGGAAUGUAAGAAAGCCUUCUGCCAUAAGUGGCUCCUAACUUUACAUCAGAGAACUUGUACCAGUGAGAAGCCUUUUAAAUGUGAGGGACACAAGAAAGCUUUCUUUUACAGGUCACACCUCAUUCGACAUCAGAGAACAUGUACUGGUGAGAAGUCCUAUUGAUACAAUGAAUGCAAGAAAGCCUUUUUGGCAGAAAUCAAACCUUAUACACCAAAGACCUCAUGCUAGCAAGAAGCCCUAUGAAUGUGAAGAGUACAAGAAUGUUUUCUAUAGUGAGUCAAGCCUCACUUUACAGCAGAGAACUCACACAAGGGAGAAGCCCUAUCAGUGCAGAGAAUGCUGGAAAGCUUUCUACAGCAAGUCAAAACUCCUUCAACACCAGCAACACAUACAAG
rnacentral:lncRNA from 1 species